UACGAAGGGGGGCUAGCGUUGUUCGGAAUUACUGGGCGUAAAGGGCGCGUAGGCGGCCUUGUGAGUCGAGUGUGAAAAGCCCCUGGGCUUAACCCCGGGAAGCGCGCUUGAUACUGCAGGGCUUGAGUGUGGGAGAGGAUGAUGGAAUUCCCAGUGUAGAGGUGAAAUUCGUAGAUAUUGGGAAGAACACCGGUGGCGAAGGCGAUCAUCUGGACCACAACUGACGCUGAGGCGCGAAAGCGUGGGGAGCAAACAGG
rnacentral:rRNA from 1 species